UAGCAGAUCAGCUCACAGAGCAACAGAUGUGGCCCACACCCAUUCAAGGGAGAGAGAAAAAAAAAACACAUUGCGCAUGGGUCUCCAACUUAACACUACUGUCAACUUAACAGCAAAACAGUUGCACAAAAUCCUCAAGGAAAGGGAGUUAAAGGAAAACUUAUUGCUUGACUUGGAAUUGUAUUGACUGACAUCAUCAUGAAGGCAUCAACCACAGCGGGUCCGGCGUUACCAAUGACAUCGCCAGAAACAUUCGAACAAGGAAUCAUUGAGGUUGUCACCCGUCUGGUCACACAGAAUUUCACAGAACACUUCACACAACCCUUCAGAGCUGGAGUUCUGACAACAACUUCUGCAGAUAUGACUGAAACAACCUCAGCCGCUUUUUUAGUGGGAGCCGCCAACGUAGAUGAUGGAUCCUUUGAAGCCAUUAUUUUCGGAGGAGGAAUUUUUGCGCUGCUCCUGGCGCUGCUCCUGGCGUUGCUGGUACUGCGCUACAUUGUCAAGCAUAAGGGCACUUACCACACCAAUGAGGCCGAGUGUGGUGAUUCUGUCGACAAGUAUGUGGAAGAGUUGAGCUCUCCAACCUCAUCCAUCUGUGAUGAGCAUGUCCUGCACUGAAACCUAGCCACUGAACACCUCUACCCCUGUCCUGCACUGAAGCCUCUGAACACCUCAAACCCUGACAUGCACUGAAGUCAAGCCUCUCGAAC
rnacentral:lncRNA from 1 species